rnacentral:rRNA from 1 species
GAUGAACGCUAGCUACAGGCUUAACACAUGCAAGUCGAGGGUCAGCAUGGUCUUAGCUUGCUAAGGCCGAUGGCGACCGGCGCACGGGUGAGUAACACGUAUCCAACCUGCCGUCUACUCUUGGACAGCCUUCUGAAAGGAAGAUUAAUACAAGAUGGCAUCAUGAGUCCACAUGUUCACAUGAUUAAAGGUAUUCCGGUAGACGACGGGGAUGCGUUCCAUUAGAUAGUAGGCGGGGUAACGGCCCACCUAGUCUUCGAUGGAUAGGGGUUCUGAGAGGAAGGUCCCCCACAUUGGAACUGAGACACGGUCCAAACUCCUACGGGAGGCAGCAGUGAGGAAUAUUGGUCAAUGGGCGAGAGCCUGAACCAGCCAAGUAGCGUGAAGGAUGACUGCCCUAUGGGUUGUAAACUUCUUUUAUAAAGGAAUAAAGUCGGGUAUGCAUACCCGUUUGCAUGUACUUUAUGAAUAAGGAUCGGCUAACUCCGUGCCAGCAGCCGCGGUAAUACGGAGGAUCCGAGCGUUAUCCGGAUUUAUUGGGUUUAAAGGGAGCGUAGAUGGAUGUUUAAGUCAGUUGUGAAAGUUUGCGGCUCAACCGUAAAAUUGCAGUUGAUACUGGAUAUCUUGAGUGCAGUUGAGGCAGGCGGAAUUCGUGGUGUAGCGGUGAAAUGCUUAGAUAUCACGAAGAACUCCGAUUGCGAAGGCAGCCUGCUAAGCUGCAACUGACAUUGAGGCUCGAAAGUGUGGGUAUCAAACAGGAUUAGAUACCCUGGUAGUCCACACGGUAAACGAUGAAUACUCGCUGUUUGCGAUAUACGGCAAGCGGCCAAGCGAAAGCGUUAAGUAUUCCACCUGGGGAGUACGCCGGCAACGGUGAAACUCAAAGGAAUUGACGGGGGCCCGCACAAGCGGAGGAACAUGUGGUUUAAUUCGAUGAUACGCGAGGAACCUUACCCGGGCUUAAAUUGCAGAUGAAUUACGGUGAAAGCCGUAAGCCGCAAGGCAUCUGUGAAGGUGCUGCAUGGUUGUCGUCAGCUCGUGCCGUGCGGUGUCGGCUUAAGUGCCAUAACGAGCGCAACCCUUGUUGUCAGUUACUAACAGGUUCCGCUGAGGACUCUGACAAGACUGCCAUCGUAAGAUGUGAGGAAGGUGGGGAUGACGUCAAAUCAGCACGGCCCUUACGUCCGGGGCUACACACGUGUUACAAUGGGGGGUACAGAGGGCCGCUACCACGCGAGUGGAUGCCAAUCCCCAAAACCUCUCUCAGUUCGGACUGGAGUCUGCAACCCGACUCCACGAAGCUGGAUUCGCUAGUAAUCGCGCAUCAGCCACGGCGCGGUGAAUACGUUCCCGGGCCUUGUACACACCGCCCGUCAAGCCAUGGGAGCCGGGGGUACCUGAAGUGCGUAACCGCGAGGAGCGCCCUAGGGUA